ACUACUUUUUAAAACUUGAAUUUGUUUUCGUUUUGUUACGUACUGAUAUGAAAGUGAAAGUAGAAACCUUGUAUGUCGUUAUGUAUGUUGAGAUCGUUAUCAAGUCCGGAUUACUUCUUAAACUUAAUGACAAAUGUUUGUUAUUAUGGCCUAUAGAUGCAUUCGGCAACUUGAGUUCAGUGUCACAGUGCUGUUUUUUUUUCAGUCCAAAGAGCCCGAAGCUGAUAAGACUGGCGAUUGAUCCUGAAGCUGAUUUGACAGACGAUUGCAUCAUCACAAUAUUGAAGGUUCAAUAUACAGUCAGCCUCUCGUAAGAUAAAGAUCCAAGGCUUGCUUCAAAGUUAAGAGACCAUUCUGUGCCACAAAGAAAUUGUUCAGGAAAAGGAGAAGUGGUGGAUAUUCAUUUUUGGUACGGUACAGUUCAAAGAGAUUUUCAAAAUGAUCAUGGAAGAUCAAAGGGAGGACAACUGACAAAACUGAAAGAUAAAGAAGGAAAAAGAGCAAGGAAAUAUAUGGAAUAAUUAUGAAAUGGGGAGGAUGUACACAAUCUUGUCUGAAUUUGACCUGUGAAGAUUUCCCAUAAUGUAUGCUGGAAUAAUCCAUAACUUGAUUUUUCAUAAAUUUACAAUAGAGAUUACAUGACAAAUGUUAUUGCUGAUAUUUCAAUGUUGCUUUGGACACUUUCAUGUCAUAUGGUAUUUUUAUACAUUACCUAAUUAUGUUAUUCAUUUGUACAUGUACAGUAUACAUGUUUAACUACUAAAUCAUUUUGCUGAAAUCUUAUAAUUUGUACUCAUGUUAGAAUAUGUUUAAUACAUGUAUCGACAAAUGCUA